AGGAUUGUGAGCGCCGUCGCAUUCUGCCAAACAGCAUGGCAGCGCCUAGACAGUUGUAGGACUUGUUCUUGGGGUAACCAAGAAGGCAUCAAUGAUCUGUAAAUGAAGAACGGAUCACUCACCUCUGCCUGGUUAAAAUAUACCAAUGCAUUGGCAGUGUUGCUGCAGUGAAUCUCAUCAUCUGGUAUUUAUUGCAAGGGCCACUGUUUCUACGUGUUCGCCCUGUCUUCAUUCACACUGGCAUCCGGGACCUGUCAAGG